GCUAAUCUGAAACUUUAUUCUUACGACCAAAAAAUAUAUAUAUAUAACUGGCUUGGGGUUCGUACAUAAAUCCUUAAAUACCCUUUUACCCUUCUCAUCUUUGGCCCAGUCCAGAUUUGAAUUCGGAUCCGAGGGCUCCCACGACUCCUCCCACCCUUCCCUAUACCUGAAAAGAAUAAAACCGUUAGGACCAAUAUCGCAAUUACCAUCAAAUCCCAGUGGCAAAUACAACACGCGCCGAAAUUUCAGAGUCCCGUCGACAUAAUCUCGCCACCCGAAACCCCUGUGCCCGAACACCGAUAGCACUGCUCCUCACUUCAAGGACAAAUCAAUUUCUCAAACCUAUUGACUCUUUUACCCUCACCAGUGACUCCUCCACUGUAAAUUGCAACCUCUUAAUUUCCAUAACAGACCAAGGAUACUGUCGUCAAUAAAAUUUUAUAAACGGCCUUUUUUUUUUGUUUUACUAUUAUUUUCAGAAGCCCAUAAAUUCAAAUUUUGAUCGUUACAAAGCCUCGGCGCUAUAGAACAAAAAAAAGCCCAGUUCCGGAGUUCGGCUGCAUGAAGCUGGCUCAAGCGUAGUCAUCGCCGUUGUCGACUCCACCUCGCCUUUUCAAAGAUUUCUAGGGUUUCUAAGCGAAAAUCGUUUUCAAAUUAUCGCUGCAAAUGGCGGCGGAGUUUAGUUCUGGUUGGUUCAGGUAAAGUUGCAACGGCAUUGUAGAGAGAGACAGAGGGAGUGAGUUUUGGACGGAGAAAGAGAGAGAGAUAGAGAUGGAAGAGGAGAUGGAGAUAGAGCCAGUGUUCGAGGUGAGAGAGAUUGAUCUUGAUUACGAGUUUGAUGCGGCUAGGUUCUUCGAUUUCACGCGCGAGGAGUCCCCGGCGGAGGCCAGAGAAGCUGAGCUUUGGUUCGAGUCGGCGCCGGGUUAUCCUCCCUCUCCUUUUGUGACAAAGUUAGUUUUAAGAGAGGGAAGUCUCCUGGAAAAUGUGACUACGUCUCCAAAAUGCAAAGAAGCGGAAGAUACUAAUACAUUACACGAAAAUGAUUCCGAAAACGUGACGGCCUUGGAAUUUUCAGCUAUGGAUGCCACUAACAGAGGCUAUGAAGGAACUAACAGAGCGAUCUUCACCAAAAUACAGAAAGUUUUACAAAAGGCUUUAAAUCAACCAUUUCAACUAACUACAGGCUUCACAACUUACAAUCAUAUACCCGGUGAUAAAUUAAAAGUUAAAUCUAAGGACAUGAAAACGUCUAUGCCAAGGGGCUCAACUCUUAUGAAACCUACUGCAAGUCAGUUAGCCAAACAAAAUCAGCCCCCUCAAGUUGCUACAUCCAGAUUUCAGAAGCUACAGGUGCUAAACAGUGACAGAAGCCUAGGUAAUUCUUCUGUGGUUGAAAGUCAAGCUGCUAAGAGGCAGAAGCUAGAGGGAGGUCUCUCACGAAAGUUUGAUGAGGUGAAGCAGCAAACUGCUUUGUUACACAAGGCACCUAAAAAGGAUGGAGCUACAGAUAGAAACAUCCUCAAUACCAAGCUGAAGCUUACCAUUCCAAUGGAACCUGAGCUUCAAACAGCCCGUAGGGCUCAAAGAAUGCAGCCUAAGAAUGGUACUGAACAAGACCAUGUUACAUCUGUCAUGCAUAGAUUCAAAGCACGCCCAUUGAAUAGAAAAAUUCUCGAGGCUCCUUCAUUGCCUCUUCGGAAGAAGAGUAUUCCGAAGUUGCCAGAGUUUCAAGAAUUUCACCUGAAGACAUCAGAAAGGGCUGCGCAACUCUCAUCAGCUCUAUCAUCUUCAUUCCAAACAAAUGAUGCUGAUAAGGGGUCUGAGAAACCUAGUACAAUUUCUGCUAAUGGCAAUGGAACUAGAGAAGCCAAAAGACCAAGUGCCAUGGAUACCACUAGGCAGGAUGCCUCUGACACAAAGUACAACUUCAAAGCUAGUCCUUUGAAUAAGAAGAUAUUUUCCGCUAAAGGAGAUAUUGGUGUUUUCCGAAACUUCAAGAGGGAAACCACAGUGCCAAUGGAAUUUAAUUUCCAUACAGAGAAGAGGGUUCUGCAAAAUCCACCCAUAGAACUUUUUAGUAAGCUGUCUCUUAUGUCUGUACUACAGCCAAGCAAUGGAUCUCAAAUGAAGUUGCCUCCUCCUACCUUUAUAUCUACAAAGGGCUCAAAAGAAAAUAGAUUUAUUCCGUUCCAACCAGAACAUGAGAUGAGGCAUUUCGCAAAGGAGAAACCACAUCUGUUUGGCUGACAGAACAUUCAGUGUGCGAGUGAUGGUUGGCAUUACUGAAGUUGGUAAUCAAUUGAGCAUGAGGGUUGUUCUUCAAUAGAACCUGUUUCGUCCAGCGCUUUAUAUCAUAAGCCUUUUUGAAGGGCUUCUUCUCUUUGAUAAGUCUUCUCUUG